UUUAAUUUUCUUUGUGUUAUUUCGUGUUUGUUUCACAAUAAAACAUAUUUUGCAUCUACAAAGUGGUAGGCAUGUUGUGUAAAUCAAAUUACACAAAUCCCCCAAAAUCGAUUUUAUUUCCGGGUUGUAAAAGCAACAAAAUAGGAAAAAUGCCAAGGGGGUGAAAACUGUCACAAGCCACAGUAUGUUAGGCAGUAGAUGGAUCUGUAAACACCAUUAGACCAGGUAUGUUAGGCAGUAGAUGGAUCUGUAAACACCAUUAGACCAGGUAUGUUAGGCAGGAGAUGGAUCUGUAAACACCAUUAGACCAGGUAUGUUAGGCAGGAGAUGGAUCUGUAAACACCAUUAGACCAGGUAUGUUAGGCAGUAGAUGGAUCUGUAAACACCAUUAGACCAGGUAUGUUAGGCAGGAGAUGGAUCUGUAAACACCAUUAGACCAGGUAUGUUAGGCAGUAGAUGGAUCUGUAAACACCAUUAGACCAGGUAUGUUAGUAGAUGGAUCUGUAAACACCAUUAGACCAGGUAUGUUAGGCAGUAGAUGGAUCUGUAAACACCAUUAGACCAGGUAUGUUAGGCAGGAGAUGGAUCUGUAAACACCAUUAGACCAGGUAUGUUAGUAGAUGGAUCUGUAAACACCAUUAGACCAGGUAUGUUAGUAGAUGGAUCUGUAAACACCAUUAGACCAGGUAUGUUAGUAGAUGGAUCUGUAAACACCAUUAGACCAGGUAUGUUAGGCAGUAGAUGGAUCUGUAAACACCAUUAGACCAGGUAUGUUAGUAGAUGGAUCUGUAAACACCAUUAGACCAGGUAUGUUAGUAGAUGGAUCUGUAAACACCAUUAGACCAGGUAUGUUAGGCAGUAGAUGGAUCUGUAAACACCAUUAGACCAGGUAUGUUAGUAGAUGGAUCUGAAAACACCAUUAGACCAGGUAUGUUAGGCAGUAGAUGGAUCUGUAAACACCAUUAGACCAGGUAUGUUAGGCAGUAGAUGGGUCUGUAAACACCAUUAGACCAGGUAUGUUAGGCAGUAGAUGGAUCUGUAAACACCAUUAGACCAGGUAUGUUAGGCAGUAGAUGGAUCUGUAAACACCAUUAGACCAGGUAUGUUAGGCAGUAGAUGGAUCUGUAAACACCAUUAGACCAGGUAUGUUAGGCAGUAGAUGGUUCUGUUAAGGCCAUUAGACCAGGUAUGUUAGGCAGUAGAUGGAUCUUUUAAUGAUGGAUCUAUAAACACAAUUAGACCAGGUAUGUUAGUAGAUGGUCGAUAUACGUGACAGUCCCCCUCUGGUGGGUUCAAUCUUGGCAUUAUCCUGCAAGUUGCAAACCAACAUAAAAAAAAUGACUACGUGAUGUUCUGGUUGUGGAUCAUCGUUGCCCUCUGGUGGUUGAACUUGGUAGGUUCUCUGAAAGCGGAGCAAUCCACCCCAAGAAUGGGCAGUGGAUGUCUGGUUGGUGAUCGCCGUCUAGGCAGUAACUUAGGCAGGUGUUAACAACGCACACACUCUCAUGAAAUACAUAAUUAAUUACAUUUCUUCCAGAAUGAGCGAUGUUCUGUCACAAAUUAUGGUUAUAUGAGGACCUUGUUCAUGGCUCUAUAACUUCCUAAGUGUCAAAGGAAAAGAAACUAAAUGAA